rnacentral:misc_RNA from 1 species
GUGAAUCAUCGAAUCUUUGAACGCAAAUUGCACUCUCCUCGGAGAGUAUGCCUGUUUGAGGGUCAGCCUAUAAAAAAUCGACAUCGUUGCUGUUUCGCGGUGGCGUUCGUCGGAAAUUGGGUUAUCUUAAAUCCUUUUGUGCUUUAAGCGACUUAAAUUUUUCUUUUUUUUUCCGUGAAUGUUUCUAAGAUUUAUUUCUUUACACGUUUAUGGUAUCGUUGUUUUUUAGACGUUAACAUCA